AGCCAUACAACGUCGUAAAUUUCGGUGUAUAAUUUACAAAAUAAUGCAAACAAGUUAUGAAAAGGUGAUAAGAAUGAAGCACACAAUCUUUAUAAUUAAGGUGUUCACGUGGAACGAGUAAAUAUUAAUUAAUAUUAAAUCACUGCAACAUAUCAAAUAUAAUACAACUAUACAAACAUAGCAAUCGUACAACGACCACGCACGUCUGUAUAAUCUUACGGGCUGUUCAAUGUUUGCGGCCGUUUGAAUUGAACAUAAACGCUGCGGAUUUUUUAACAAAAAAUGUUCACAAAGUCGGAAAUGUAUUGAAAUUCAAUUUGUACGACAAUACGUGCUACACGAUAAACGAAAAACCCUGUAUUCAACAGGUACCGUCGGCUUAUCAUGCAAAUGGAACACAAUUCAAUAUAGCACGGCUGCCCACUGAGAUAAUCGACACCUACACCGAUAGCGUUCCUUACGAUGAGUCGAUGGUGCCCAUACCCAAAACGGCGGCGAAUCCUGUGGGAAAAAUAUUGCCAAGGUAUUAUACGGCUUUUAAAUUGGACAACACCGCUUUGGCUUCGGUCGCCGCCGGCGUGACCCUUCAGACUAUAGUUGAGGAUUGUACAAGAAAAGGAGAGCAUUUCGAGGCGGUCGUCCGGAUUAUGAACGCCAUCGAAAGCGCAGGUAUUUCGACAAUGUUUAGAUUCUGUGUUUUAGCCACUAAGUUAAAGAACGCCGAUGACGCAAUAAUGGAAGAUAUCUACGUUACGUUCACACGGCUGUUAAACGUUAUCGAAUGGAAGUUUAGAAAUUUCAACAUUUCGACUGCGCCAAUUCGUGAAAUAGAAUUUGCCGUUGAAGUUUUACAGAAUAUUGAACGUUCGCAAAAAGAUCAAGGGUACGCAUUUUUCGAGACUACGUGUAUAGAGUUCACUCAUCGGUAUGGCAACAUGGUCGAUUACGUGAGUCCAACUCAAUUUGUAAAUAUGGAUGAAACGCAUAGUGCAAAUAGUCUCAUAGAGACAAUGUACAGCACUAUAGCCGGUGCAUCAUUUAUUUUUUAGGACGUUAUUGUACCAAUUAUAAGUGCACAUACAUUGGAAUUACUGUUUGAUAUGUAACUCAUCGUAAAUUUAUUACCGUUCAAAAUAUUUUAUUUAUCUUCAUAGUUCUUACCUCUGUACGGUAUCGGACCUUUGUCUAACUGAAUCAAAAUCAAAUUAAAAAAAAAUAAAAAUACCUAGUAAAACACAACAAAAUAGCCAAAAAACACAACAAAAAAAAGAAAAAAGUUUUAGCUUUGUCGAGAUCCACUUUUCAAGUACCGAAAAAAGCAGCGUCACACUGAUCAAUUAAAGUUCAUAUUAUUUUUAUUUUAAAAUUGUUAUUUCACGAACCGGUAUAAACUAAAAGUGUAUAAUAAAUAUUAUAUUAUUAACCUUUUGUAAUUAUUAAUAACACUUAAUAGUAAUCAUAGUAAAAGUCAUUAAUACAUUUUUAAUGGUAUCGUUAGUAAUUAUAUCAACCUAUAGUUUCUUUUUUCAAAAAUUAUUAUAUUGCCAACAGUGUUCCUGAUUUGCCAGGGCGUAUACACGCUUUCAUUGGAUUAGCCUAAAAAAUGGCUUUUUUAAAUUUAUAACAAGUUUAAAAUAAAAACAAAUUUAAAUUUAAAAAUUAAAAAACUAUUAUGAGUUAUUAAAUUUAGUAAAAACUUAAUUCAGAAAAAAAAACUUAAAAGCCUAUUUCUUAAGUGUAGAGAACAGCAAAUAAAUAAAUUGGAGGGCGACUGUUAAAUAAAAAUAAAAAUUAAUAUCUUUAACAAUCACCCUAUUAUAAAUAAAGUAGUAAAAUAAAAUAAAAUAAAUUUAUAAAAGUUUAAUAUUUCUAUAGUCCUAAUUUUGUUAUUUUGUUGUCUGUUGUUGUUGCAAAAUUAUAUAUUUUUUUUCAAUGGAGUACAGAAAAAAAACUUCGUUAAAAUAAUUAUCAUAUUCACUCCACAAUUGGAGAUAAAAUUAUUAAUCAAAUAUGUAGAAUUUCAUGGAUAUAUAGGCUAGUUCUUAUUUAUAGACGAGGUGAUAAAAGUUAGGUAUUCAUUAAGGACAACAUUUUUGAAUACCGUGAAAAAAAUUAUUAUUUUUAGUUUAGUCGUGAUUACUCAUUCCCUUUACGUGCCGCAAGAGGAUUGAAUUUUAAACAUCCAGUUCAACAAAAUGAUAGUUUUGUCUUUUUUCACUUUAUUUUUAUAAAAUAUCUAACUUGUCAAAAAAAUGUAUACAUUUUAAUUUGUAAGAAA